GAUGAAAUUCGUUAUUUUUAUUGUACUCUUCGCUGCUGCAAUUAUUACCGUUGCGGAGUCUAGUUGGCAAUGCAAACCUUGCGAUCCAAAUUAUUGUAUGACUGUUCGAUGCGCUCCUCAACUGAAAGAAGAUUGCACUGCCGACGAAGUUUUCAGACGAUAUGAUGGGCUAUGUUAUUGUUGUGACACGUGUGUUCCAAAAAAUGCUUGCCACUAAAACGUAUGAAUAUGACUCAAGGAAAAAUGAUACGUUGAUGAAACUUUACUUGUUAUAAUAAAGAUUUUAAUGAAAAUAAAUAUGUAAUAAAUUCAUAUAAGCACUU